rnacentral:rRNA from 1 species
GGGCCCGCACAAGCAGUGGAUUAUGUGGUUUAAUUCGAAGCAACGCGAAGAACCUUACCAGGUCUUGACAUCGGAUGCAUAACCCAGAGAUGGGUGAAGCCCUGCGGGGCAUCCAGACAGGUGGUGCAUGGUUGUCGUCAGCUCGUGUCGUGAGAUGUUGGGUUAAGUCCCGCAACGAGCGCAACCCCUACUAUUAGUUGCUACGCAAGAGCACUCUAGUGGGACUGCCGUUGACAAAACGGAGGAAGGUGGGGAUGACGUCAAAUCAUCAUGCCCUUUAUGACCUGGGCUACACACGUAAUACAAUGGCACUUAACAGAGGGAAGCAAUACCGCGAGGUGGAGCAAAACCCCAAAAAGUGUCUCAGUUCGGAUUGCAGGCUGCAACCCGCCUGCAUGAAGUCGGAAUUGCUAGUAAUCGCGGAUCAGCAUGCCG